rnacentral:rRNA from 1 species
UAGGGAAUCUUCCACAAUGGACGAAAGUCUGAUGGAGCAACGCCGCGUGAGUGAUGAAGGGUUUCGGCUCGUAAAACUCUGUUGUUGGAGAAGAACGGGUGUCAGAGUAACUGUUGACACCGUGACGGUAUCCAACCAGAAAGCCACGGCUAACUACGUGCCAGCAGCCGCGGUAAUACGUAGGUGGCAAGCGUUGUCCGGAUUUAUUGGGCGUAAAGCGAGCGCAGGCGGUUUUUUAGGUCUGAUGUGAAAGCCUUCGGCUUAACCGGAGAAGUGCAUCGGAAACCGGGAGACUUGAGUGCAGAAGAGGACAGUGGAACUCCAUGUGUAGCGGUGAAAUGCGUAGAUAUAUGGAAGAACACCAGUGGCGAAGGCGGCUGUCUGGUCUGCAACUGACGCUGAGGCUCGAAAGCAUGGGUAGCGAACAGGAUUAGAUACCCUGGUAGUCCAUGCCGUAAACGAUGAGUGCUAAGUGUUGGGGGGUUUCCGCCCUUCAGUGCUGCAGUUAACGCAUUAAGCACUCCGCCUGGGGAGUACGACCGCAAGGUUGAAAC